CUCUGUAUGCAGAACUGCUCCCUAACCUCUCUCCUAUAGGAGCAAGCAAAAAUUCCCAUCAUCUAAGUCACUGGAUAAGGCUCUAGACUUUUCCAAAAUCUAAAAUACUGAUAGACUGAAAACCUACCAAGGAAAACCUGCAAAGCUGACUGGCUUUUAAAUGUGAUUUUAUUUUUU